rnacentral:rRNA from 1 species
UACGAAGGGGGCUAGCGUUGCUCGGAAUUACUGGGCGUAAAGCGCACGUAGGCGGAUCGUUAAGUCGGGGGUGAAAUCCUGGAGCUCAACUCCAGAACUGCCUUCGAUACUGGCGAUCUUGAGUCCGGAAGAGGUGAGUGGAACUCCUAGUGUAGAGGUGGAAUUCGUAGAUAUUAGGAAGAACACCAGUGGCGAAGGCGGCUCACUGGUCCGGUACUGACGCUGAGGUGCGAAAGCGUGGGGAGCAAACAGGG